UGGAGAGUUUGAUCCUGGCUCAGGACGAACGCUGGCGGCGUGCUUAACACAUGCAAGUCGAACGGAAAGGCCCUUCGGGGUACUCGAGUGGCGAACGGGUGAGUAACACGUGGGUGAUCUGCCCUGCACUUUGGGAUAAGCCUGGGAAACUGGGUCUAAUACCGAAUAGGACCGCGCGCUUCAUGGUGUGUGGUGGAAAGCUUUUGCGGUGUGGGAUGGGCCCGCGGCCUAUCAGCUUGUUGGUGGGGUAAUGGCCUACCAAGGCGACGACGGGUAGCCGGCCUGAGAGGGUGACCGGCCACACUGGGACUGAGAUACGGCCCAGACUCCUACGGGAGGCAGCAGUGGGGAAUAUUGCACAAUGGGCGCAAGCCUGAUGCAGCGACGCCGCGUGAGGGAUGACGGCCUUCGGGUUGUAAACCUCUUUCACCAGGGACGAAGCGCAAGUGACGGUACCUGGAGAAGAAGCACCGGCCAACUACGUGCCAGCAGCCGCGGUA
rnacentral:rRNA from 1 species